AGAAAGAGGGAGAGGGAGAGAGCACACCUGGUGCCACAUGUAUAGAAAUUCGCCUACCUCUAAAGCAACAGAGACUUGUCCAGAUUUGAUAAACUUAGUUCUGCCUCAAGAAAACAUUAGAUUUCAGCCAUGAGUUAGCCCAUCUAUAGCAGGGCUGAGACCUCAUCUUAAACCCCGAGGGUGUGGGGAACUCCAAUCCCUUUGAUCUUAGGAGAGGUUCUAUUUUUUCUAGAGGGGCCCGCCAUAAAGCUUGAAUUAGAACCGGGACCUGAAUGUCAUGAGCAAUUUCGUUCCAAGUGUCUCCUGAGCACGCCUGGGAAACUUCGGAGAGCCAGAGAGGGGCCUCUGUGUGUGGUCGUGCUGGAGGAGACACAAUAAUGGAGCUGACCAUAGGUAAAAGAUUUCAGACAUUGUUCCGUAGCUCCAUGCUUGUGACCCUGUAACCACACCAAGAAACUGCUUCACAGUCAGUGGCCCCCACUCCUCCUAAGUAACUUCUGUUGCCGGUUAUGUUGACUGGGUAAAGAGAAAGCGGUCUAAGCUAAUAUUUGAGAACACGGCUCACGAGGUGAAAGAGCCAGACACGCCCUCAUAGUCCUACAGAACAGGGUGAACUUUGUCCAUCCUCCACUACGUUGGUCUGAAUGAGGCGGUCCCCAUACUCUCGAGCAUCUGAGUAUUUGGUCACCAGUUGGUGACUGCUGCUUGGUUUGUGGUUCGUGUGGUGAGCCCUCAGUUACUGUUCCAGUCAUUUUGCCUGCUGCCAUGCUUCCCGCCAUAACGGUGAUGGGUUUAUCCUCUGGGGAGGAAUCUCAUGCAUUCCGUUGUCUUCAACAACACCCUCCAACACCCUCCUCUUACACGCUUUCUCGCGACCGGCCAGGAAAGACGCAACAAACCGGAAUCUUCUGCGGCAAAAGCUUUAUUGCUUACAUCUUCAGGAGCAAGAGUGCAAGAGAGCAAGAGCUCUAUUGCUUACAUCUUUAGGAGCCAGAGCAAGAGCGCAAGAGAGCAAGAGCCAGAGCAAGAGAGAGAAAGAAAGCAAGAAAAAGAACAAGAACAAGAAAGCAAGAGCAAGAGAGAGAGAAAGCAAGAACAAGAGAGAGAAAAAGAAUGGCAAAACCCCGUCCCUUUUAAGGAGAAUUAUCCUCCGCCUAGGACGUAUUACUCCCUGAUUGGCUGCAGCCCAUCGGCCCAGUAGUCAUCAUGAGAAGGCAGAACACAUGGCGGGAAAACUGCCCCUGCACAUGUGCAGAUUAUGUUUACCACUUAGAACACAGCUGUCAGCGCCAUCUUAUAAUGGCAAAUGUGAGGGUGGCUCCCCACACCCUCCCUUAAAGUGUCUUGUCUUUCCCAUCUUGUGGACCUUUUUCUAGUUCCUUGGCCUCUACCCACAUUUACUCUCCAACAGGCAUACAUACUUAACAACUAGCAGCUAGGAGCCACAUACAAGAGAACAACUGGUCCACUGCAUCUGCCUUUCUGAGCCUUCACCCCCUUUAGCAUAAUGUUUUCUAGUUCCAACCAUUUUCUUGUAAUUUCCUUCUGUAAAAGAUCUUCAUUUAUUUGAACCGCAUGUAUAUGAGUGUUCUGCCUCCAGGUAUGUAAGUGUACAUGCAUAAAUUCACCUGGCGCUGCAGAGGCCAAAAGAACGAAUCGGAUGCCCUGGAACUGGAGUUACAGAGAGUUGUGAGCUGCCGCAUGGGGGCUGGGAACCAAACCCAUUUUGGUGGAACCAAACCAAGCCCACUUGCUAUUCCUCUGCAAGAACAGCGAGUGCUUUUAGCUAUUGAGCUAAGUCUCCAGCUCCCACACGUCAUAUCGAGUUGCUAUGUGAGUAAAAUCCUAUUGUGUGUAUGUACUAUAUUCCCAUUAUCCAUUCUUCCAUUGAUGGACAUGUAAGCUGAUUCCAUCUGCUUUGUACUGUGAAAAGAGCAUUCGUGUACAUGGAUGUACACGGAUCACUGUGGUAGGAUGCACAGAUCCUUGGUUGUACACGGAUGUACAUGGAUCACUGUGGUGGGAUACACAGACCUUUGGAGGCUGGGCAUGGUAGAGACUCACACCUUUAAUCCCAGAACUCAGGAAGCAUAGGCACACAGAUCUCUGAGUUUGAGUGCCAGGACGGUUAGGGCUGCGCAGAGGGAAAAUGUCUAAAACCAAAAUAGUAACAACAGCAACCCCGGGUUGGUUGCAUGUGCAGGAAUGGUAGAGCUGAGUCAGGUGGUACUUCUAGUCUUAGGUUGCUGAAGUUCCACACUAAUAACCAUAAUGGCUGCACCAGGGACCUUUUCUUUCCCAAAUCAUCACGGAUAUGCAUUGUCUUGAAGUUGGCCACUCUCUGACUUCGGUGAGGUGGAAUCUCAAAGACGUGUUGCUUUGCUUUUUUUUUUUUUUUUCCUGGUGGCUUGGAAACAGUUUUUAUGCAUUAACAGCUUUCUAUUGGAGAAGUUUGUUUUUGUUUUUAUUUGUUUUGUUUUUUCUGUGUCUUCACCUGAUUUAGCAAGUGGAAUUUGUGUUUUUCACGAGGUUUAUAAAUAAAAUGUUAUGUAGCCCAUGGUACCU
rnacentral:lncRNA from 1 species